CUAAUUUAAUGGUAUUGCUUGAUGUAUUGGUUUUCCUUUCGUUUUGCAUUGCCUAUGCGAUGUGAGAUGAACCUUGAAGCAGCCUUUGUGAUCCACUGAUUUGAUGUAUAUGCAUUGAUUUUGUGGCCCAUUGAGUGUUGCUUGGUCUCAUGGAUAUGGAACCUGGUGUGGGCAUGAAAUCUUAAUGGUUCCUUGUUUGCCCAAGUUUAGCUUUUCUAAAACGAUUGUCUAUCAUGUGUUAACAUG
rnacentral:misc_RNA from 1 species